GCCCACUUGGCUAAGUGGUUUAAAGCGCAGCACUUGUAUAUUGAAGCACAUGCUGAGAUCACUCGUUCAACUCGGGUAGUGGGCA